AGCGAACGCUGGCGGCAGGCCUAACACAUGCAAGUCGAACGAAGUCUUCGGACUUAGUGGCGGACGGGUGAGUAACACGUGGGAACGUGCCCUUUGGUUCGGAACAACUCAGGGAAACUUGAGCUAAUACCGGAUGUGCCCUUCGGGGGAAAGAUUUAUCGCCAUUGGAGCGGCCCGCGUCUGAUUAGCUAGUUGGUGAGGUAAAGGCUCACCAAGGCGACGAUCAGUAGCUGGUCUGAGAGGAUGAUCAGCCACAUUGGGACUGAGACACGGCCCAAACUCCUACGGGAGGCAGCAGUGGGGAAUCUUGCGCAAUGGGCGAAAGCCUGACGCAGCCAUGCCGCGUGAAUGAUGAAGGUCUUAGGAUUGUAAAAUUCUUUCACCGGGGACGAUAAUGACGGUACCCGGAGAAGAAGCCCCGGCUAACUUCGUGCCAGCAGCCGCCGUAAAAC
rnacentral:rRNA from 1 species